GACCAGACCAAAUGAGCCAUCUCCAGCAACCACCCAAUGAUACGCACCCCACCACAAGCUUCCUUGGCCCCCGAAACCCCCAACCCGUGAAGCUUGCCUCCCCACUCGUCGGCAUCCGUCGCAACUGGCCCCCCCGAAGUUCUGUCGCCGAUGUGAGUUUGGAGGAUUUUUCUGGCCUCCACCGUCUUCGAAACAAGAAUUCAAGGGAAUGGUUGGGUUUGUGAGCUCAAGAUAAGCAAAACCCCUAUGGAAAUUGGAUUGAAAUGUCGCUGGAGGUGCUCACCAAUGUCAAGAACGACUUUCUUCUUCUUCUUGGAUAUCUGAAUGACUUCACCUGUGCUGGCCUCUUCGCUCCUAAUAGCUUCUUCUUCAAAACCAGGGCACUUCUGAGAGAAUUGCCUCCUUUUAUGAGCUUUGAUGUGUAUAUUAUUUGGUGUAAAGUAUAUAUAGAAGCAUUGGCUUAUGCUUAGAGGGCAUAUCUAUUUGUUAUAUUCAUUGAUUUCAGAUCUAUUCCAUGGAUAUACAUACACGGUAUGCUCUCUCGUCAACCCUUAUUGGUGGUGUAAUGGGAGCACAUGCUCAAUUAUGGGAGCUUAUGAAGAAUCCAAGCAACUAGUGGAGAGCCAAACAACUCAAGGAUAUAUUUUCAAUUCAUUUCCAGUAGAUGUAUUCUCUAUAGUUGGAGAUUUCAGAGUUUACUUUUAUUGUGUUGAAAUUUUUACAUCAAUCAAGCAAACUGCUUUAAUGUAUAUAUUUAGCUUUAUAUGUUUAUUUUCAAUUAUAAGUUCUUUGGCUUUGCAUUUAAAACUUCUUACUAUCAAGCUUCAAGUGCUUCUUGGAUAUAUAGUGUCAGAAAAACUACUUAUGACUUUGUAUUUGAUCAAACUCCAGGAAGGAUAAUGUUGGAUUCUUCUCUAGUUGGAUAAUGUUGAAAUAAUUUUAAGUUCUGUUUCGU